AAAGAACAGUUAAUAAUCUAAGAGGAAAGAAAGAGUCUUUAAGCCAGACACCUGUAAUUAAAAUUAGAUCGUUUUUAUUUUCUGGUUUGGUUGAAGACCGGCAAGCACUCAGAUCAGGAGUGCCUGCCUUCAGCUAGGCAUUACUAGUUGAUUUACCAUAUCUGAUGACACAGACAAGCAGGAAGAUUUCGUUUCUGGGACUACCUAUCUUUUCAAGUCUAUGAGAGUCUUCUCUGCUACAUUCAAAUAAUAGGAAACAUAGUAGCAGCUAUGUUAAGUAGUUGCUAGACAACAAACUCAUGGUGAGCAUUAAAAUGUUUGCCAUAUGAGCCCAUCAAAACUUUUCAAAGCUAUAUGGAUUUCUUACCUCCAUGUUACAGAUUAGAGUAUCAGGGCAUUAGAAAAUCAGGGUGCAGGAGGUUUUAUUAUUUUCCCAAGAUAGCCCAGCUAUUAAAAGCUGAAGUGAUUCAAAUGUAGCCUGUACCUGUAAAGUCAGCUAAAUACCCUCUUUAGAGAAGAGCUUGCACAUCUAUAACGUUCCUUUUCAACAGCCCUUACAUUUAGAUGGUAAGCCAAGACAAUAAAUAAUAUGAUCUGUUAUCGAUGGAUUCCAUAUUCUCUAGUUUGACUACCUUAGGACAGAAAAGAACAAUUAACUGUACUGAAUAUGUUCAGAUUUCUCAUGCCAGUAUUCCCUAGGCAAUACAGCAUAACAUAAAGUUUACCUUGUGUUGGCUAUUGCAAGUAACCAAACAGUGGUUUGAUGUAUAUAUGAGGAUAUGGGUAGAUUAUUUCUAUUAUAAAAUUCUUGAGCAUCCUUGGAAUUUGGUGUCCAAAGAGGGUCCUGGAAGUAAUUCUUGGUGGAAACUGGGGGAUGACUCGAUCCAGACCCACUUUUUUUUUUUUUAUGGUCAGACCAGUACCAUGGUCUAGUUUUAGCAGAUGUUGAUGUUUUGCUUGAGUUUAUAGACUUCAAUGUCAGAAUCUUAAAAUUUUGCUUUUGAGUAUUCAAAUAUUAUUAUCAAGAUGCAUAAAUGUAUCACAUCUUAUACAGAUAUAGGAGAAGGGAAACAAAUACUUUAAAAGGAGGUCUCCUUUGACCCAGUUUUCUUUAAGUGGAAGGGAAGGUCCUCCUGUAAUACCUCAGUAACCUCAUUUACUAUGACCCCAAGUCAGCUUAAUUGGACCCAGAGAUUCCCUAUGAUCUCCACUCCCUGAAUACCCUGAAUAAAGGCAGAUCUGAGAAUGGAGCCCUUUCCCGCAUCUGAGUCCUGGAACAGCAAACAGUAAUGGGACACCAGUAAUGUAAUCAUUCAUGUCAAGUGGGCUUUUAAAUAGAGGAAUAUGAUCUACUAUUAGAGACUGUUGUGACAAAAAAAAAAAAAAUUCUUGAAAACUCAAGUUGGGCAUAGUGGUGCACACUUUUAAUUCCAGCAUUUGGGAGUCAGAGAAAGGGGGAUCUCUGUAAGUUCAAGGCCAAUCUGGUCUACAGAGUGAGUUCCAGGACAGCCAGAAUUACAUGAGACCCUGUACAAAAACAAAACAAAAAACAGUGAAGAAAUUAUUUCCACCUUGUAAACACAGAAAUCAUUAAUCGCUAUGAUAAAAGAUUCCUGUAUUUUCACAAAAGCAGAUCUGGGGAGGUGACUUAGUAGGUAAAAUGCUUAUUCAGCAAACAGAAGAACCUGACCGCCAUCCCCAGACCCACAGACAAGGCCCGGUGUAGUGCAUGUAAUCCCACUGCCGGGAGGCAGACAUGGAUCUCUGGUGCGCUCAGGCCAGCCACCCUAACCAAAUCAGCAAGUUCCAUGUAGAAAGCUGAGACCCCGUCUCGAAAGAUCUCUGGCCUCACAUCCACGCUUACACAUGCAUACAUGCACUUUCACACACACAUGCACACACACACACACACACACACACACACACACACACACACAGUGGAUAUGAUUAUAUCUAAGAUGCCUGGACACUUAUUUGGAAUAGGUUUCUAUGACCUUAUUACAAUUUUUGUGCUUGAGUUAGUCGAUAUAAUUGAGACACAAACAUGAAAUAGCAUACACAGAACAUUUGCAAGAGAAAAAAAACAUUCAGGAGUUAACUAUUAAAUAUUUAAGAGGACGUAGAGAACAAGCUUAAAGGUCAUGAUUAAAAUCCUUCUGGGAAAACUGUUGUGAUAUUUGGUGAGAUUAAAAAUCACAUUACUGAAAUAUAGCCCGCAGCAUUCAGCACAUUCAGCUAGCAUUAAACUGCUAGCCUGUGAAAUCAGUGUUGUGCAUUGGAUUCUAAAUGUGAUACACUCUGCAAGGCUAAGUUGCAAUGUGAGUCUUCGUUAUGGAUGCAUCCUGGGAAGGCACUGUGCUACUAAAAUGCGUUCUUUUAAAAAAUUAUUUAUUCACUUUAUAUCCCCUAAAAUGCAUUCAUAUUCAUUAGUAUUUCUCUUUAAUUUUAAGGUACACUGAGCUAAACCCCUACUGAUGAGGUCUGCAUGAUUUCAUUCCAUACUCAAACCCAUCAUGUACGUAUUGUUAAGGCUGUCAUCUUAAACAGGGAGGAUGGGGGUCAGAGAGGCUCAGGAUUUUGCCCAUGUCCUAAAGCUGGGUCCCACAGCCUGUCUGGCCCCAUUUUGUGAACCCUGACAUUGUACUGCUUCCCAUAGGUAAAGAAUGCUUUCCACCUCUGUCCUAACUACACCAGAUAGAUUUGUAUCUUAAAACUUGACCUCCUGCUGGGGUAGGUGGUGCAUGCCUUUAAUCCCAGCACUUGGGAGGUAGAGGCAGGCAGAUCUCUGAGUUUGAGGCCAGCCUGGUCCACAAUGUUAGUCCAGGAUAGCCAGGGCUACACAGAGAAACUCUUGUCUUGAAAAAACAAAACAAAACAAAAAAAACAAAACAACAAAAAUGUGACCUCCCAUAUGCAGACAUACUUGGGGGAAGGACAAAGGUCACUGUGUAACCCUAGUUGGCCUCUAAUUCAUGGUCCUCUUGCUCCAGGCCUCAAAUUCUAGUAUUGUAACAUGCACCACAACAGCUUGCUUAGGUAAACCUUUAAUAAAUGACAUUUCUAUCUCUCAGAUUUAGCUCCCUUUAGAAGUGAAUCAUGAGGGAAAAUUUGGAAAUACAGCCUCUUCUGACAUAAAUAGAACCUUUUUGUUUGUUUGUUUUUGGAGACUGGGUUUCUCUGUGUGGCCCUGGCUGUCCUAGAACUCCCUCUGUACAUCAGGCUGGCCUUGAACUCCUGCCUCUGCCACCACUGCCCAACAGAACCUUUUAAUUUGCAGAUGGAAUUCCAGUUCUGACUGUUGUUAUCUCAGUCAUUGCAAUAUAAACUAUGAGUGACUGAAUUGAAACCACCAGGCUAGCUCAGGCCACCUGCUGGAUUUUUAUGCAGCUCAAAGUGCUAAGGAUGCUUUUCCAAAAUACUGUCUUAGGCAGCUGAAAAUAUCAAAAUAUAAACCAUAACUUGUGAUGUAGAAAUCAAAUUGAUCAAUAGUGAAUGGUUUGUGAACUGUGGACUUGGAGUGACGCGUCAGUACAUACUUAUUGUAAGAAACGGCACCACUCUGGUCGGGAUGUUAAAGUUAGGAGGCUGUGUGUGGAGAUGGGAGAAUGUGGGCUUCCUCUAUGGGUUAAUAGUUAGGAGCAUAUGGGAUACCUCUAGAUGUCCUGCUUCGUGUUGUCAUGAACCUAGAGCAGCUCUAAAAGUUAGAGGCUAUGAAAUAUACAGACCAAGUUCAGUGUCCAUGGGUCAGGUUUAUUAGUGCGUGGCUGUACCCCUUCAUUUAGGUUUUGCCCAGGGCUGUUUUUACAUUGCAAGAGUUGAGCGGCUGAGAGCUGAAAGGCCUUCCGUCUUUACUCCUCGGGGAGAAGCUUUCUGACUGUUGAUUCUGUUGCAUCUGGCACUGACCACGCUACUGGAUGAGAGUGUUAUCCUCAGAGUUAAGCUAACAAAAUUCUUCUCCUCUUUUACAUUUAGUAGUUGUGAGACAUUUAGCAAGUGCUUAAUCUUUUUAGCCCUUGUUUACUGUCUUUUGACUGGGAUGGUAAGCUCUGUAGGAUACUUACAGGAUCAGUUUAAGGGUAAAAAGAACUAAGGACACACCAAACAGGUCAGUGAUAAUUCAUUUAGAUUUUGAAGUUCUGCCUUUCUCUUCUGCCUUCACUUUAGGAUCUGGCUGUGUUUUCCUCAGUUAUAUGCUUUAUUUAUGUGAAAGGUGAAUGAACAACAAGAAAUAAAAAGGAGGGCAUGAUUGUUCUUAAGGGGUUGAGGUCUUUAUUAUAGAUCUGAGGGAGAAUACAAACAGACACAGGCAGAGGCAUCUGAGAGAGUCCAGAGUAGACAUAGUCAGCAGACUGAGUUGGGCCAUGUGAGGAGAAGAGAGAGGGAGAAAGAGAAACCAGGAGCAGCAGUCAAGUGGCCAAGAGGCCAAAAGGGAUAAAAGGGCCAGUGUAGCCAAAAUGGCUGGGUUAAAUAAAGAAGAGCAGCUGGGGGAUUGGCAAGCCCAGCCCAGUCUCAGGCUGGAGAAGUCUAGGGUAGGAGGCGGGUCUCUCUCUCUCUCACACACAAACACAUACAACAACGGCCAGGAGGACCUUGUAUCAGAUAGGAACUGAGGGAUGCUGGGAAAACCUGGUAGCCGUCAUCCACCUUAAUAUGUUUUUCAGCACCUCAGCCAUUUGUCCUGGUUUGAGAGCUAGCAAAGGGUUCUUUUGUCUUCUCAGAAGUCAUCUCCUUACCCUGACUUAACAGGGCGUGGUUAUUUUGUUCCCUGUUUCUGUCUUACUAUCAAACUUGUCUAUCCCUGAUCCAGGGUACAGGUGCCUGUAGCGGCCUCUGCCCCAGUGAAAAGUGAGAAAGUCCUUGCCUCAGCACAGAAAGCAAGAACCAGAUACCAGGUUUCUGGCCAAUACCUGUGCACUUCCAAGCAUUGCUUCAGACUUUCCUGCCAUUCCCUAACUCAAAUGUAUUAACUAUGGAUGAUGCAUUGCCGUUUAAGCUUAAGACCCAAGAAAUCACUGGAUUCUUUCCUAAAACUGUAGUUGAAGCAUUGUUCUCAAGAUUUCAAAGAUUCUUAUUCUACAAGAAAAAAUAUUAUCUUUAUUAGCCAAGACAUUCUGGAGUGGUGAGACUUUCAAAGGAAGGAGUUAUAUAAUCCACACGAUAAGCUCUGUUAUUGUAGUGAAAAAAUGUUUUGAUUUAGCAAUGAAGCUGCUGUGUGUGCUGUAUGUUUUUUUGGAUUAUAGACUCUCCAGUGUUGCAGCCCAAGACAACGGGCCUUUUAAGUCCUUGGACUGUUAAGGUUAUUUGACUCCAAUAAGUGUUCAUUUUGGAUAGUUUUGUUUUUCUGGAGUCACUUUUGUGAAGGAGGAAUAGUACCAAUUAGAUGACAGAGAAGUUUGGGGAACGGAAUAAAUUGUAGAAAUAACUGAGUAAGUGCUUUUCUUUCCUUCCUUGUCAUUCCAUAAAAUGUGUUUGCAAACCAUUUCUACUUCAUCUCAGUCCUGGAAGGUAAAGAUUCCCUUUUCACACGCUGGAAUUCAGGAGCUCAGCUUAUCAGUGUCAAGGCCAAGGCCAGCUACCUCCUUGGCCUCCAGUAGACCGGGAGCAGUGGGAGCGGUCACUGUGUUGCUGAGUGUGUGUCCUUGGAAGCUAAAGCAAGGCAACGUCUCUCAGAAAUUCAGGCUGGAGGAGGACUCUCAAACAGUUCUUAACCUCUAGGUGUCACGUUCUUAUUCACUGCCAGAUUUUCAGAACUUGGGUGGAAAUCUCACAAAUAAGAUGAGGGAGGACCAGCGAGAGGCAAGUGCAAUGUGGAAGGAAUUGAAGCUGGCACAUCACUUUUCAAGUGAUGCCAGGUGUCAACGCAUCCUAAGUCUUUGGUCCCAUUUGCCAAACCGUGAGAAAGUUUGGCCAUUAAAAAAAUAAAACAAAACAAAAAGCAAGCUGAAUAUGUUAUACAGAAGGUAUGGCCAGUUAUCUGUCUCAGAUGAAGAUUAUCGAUGGAGUGGAAAAGUUAACAUUAUCCUGGUAAAUGUUUACUGGGUUCCUUCGAAAUCCAUGUUGGAGUUUAACUAUCCAGUCUUCUUUACGUGGAUGAGGGCCCACCAAAUGGUUUCCCUGUGUGUCUAAAGCAAGACAUACUUUCUAGGGCUUGCCUUGGUAUUUAUCGUCUUCCUCACCCCUUCAUGGCCUUUCAUGUCAGCGGAGGUGUCUGUGAGGGGUUGGACUAUACAGCGGUCCCAGUUCACUUCCUCCCUGCCCCACCAGAGUACUGAAGACGUUGAGAAAUUCAGUUUGGGUCUGGAGGGAGUACAGCUGUACCCGGAGCCAGCACAGCUGUACCCGGAGCCAGCAGCAGCAGAGGACCUCAAGAUGGAGCCUGGGAACAUGGGUAGACAUAUGGAGAUGACGCCUGGGGAUGCGACCAGAAGCCUGGGGAGAGGAAGCUGUCCCCCAGGGCCAGUUCCUGAGGGUGUGAUCCGAAUCUACAGCAUGAGGUUCUGCCCCUACUCGCACAGGGCACGCCUGGUGCUCAAGGCCAAAGGCAUCAGGCACGAAGUUGUCAACAUUAACCUGAAGAACAAGCCUGAGUGGUACUAUACAAAACAUCCUUUUGGCCAGAUACCUGUCUUGGAGAACAGCCAAUGUCAGCUCAUCUAUGAAUCUGUCAUCGCUUGUGAGUACCUGGAUGAUGUCUACCCAGGAAGGAAGCUGUUUCCCUACGACCCGUAUGAACGCGCUCGCCAGAAGAUGUUGCUGGAGCUAUUCUGUAAGGUCCCACAUUUAACCAAGGAAUGCCUGGUAUUGACGAGAUGCGGGAGAGAGUGUUCGGAUCUGAAGGUCAUCCUGCGUCAGGAGUUCUGCAACCUGGAAGAGAUUCUCGAGUAUCAGAACACCCCCUUCUUUGGUGGAGAUUGUAUAUCCAUGAUUGACUACCUUUUCUGGCCCUGGUUUGAGCGGCUGGAUGUAUACGGACUAGCGGAGUAAGACAUGUGACUACACGAUUGCAAAUCCAAUAAGUGCCAACUGUUGAGAAGCUCUGGGUCCUAGUAACGACCAUGUGGACUGUCUCAUGUUUGUGGAACAAAAUCAGGGCUGGAAGCUGCUCGUUCAGGCUUCCUGGUUCAAAGUGCCCCUGUGUUCUUCUCCCACCGAGUACUGCUCACAUGUGACCUACAUCUCUGUGGAUAAGACCCUGUGUGCAAAGACCUCCCGAGUGCUUCAGGGCCCAGUGUCCCUGUGGAUCCACCGACACUCGAAAUAAUCGGAUGGCUGCACAGCUGAGUCACUCAGCAUGUGCCACACAGCUGAGUCCCACCUCACGUCCCCCAAAUAGGAAUACCCUUUAAAAGCCAGGCUUCAAAAGCAAUUCAUGUGUGGUCUUCAUAUAAACAAAAUGGCAGCCACAUAUCACACAAGUGUCACACUUUGGAGCUUUGUCACCUCAGAGCUCAGAGGUGACACUGUAUGUGUGUGGUGCUUCGGACUCAGAAUCCAGCCAACCAGCAUGCUAGGCAUUUCAGGUGGCUGGAGAGUGAAACAAACGCACAGACAAAUCAUAAGCCUACCUCCUUCCAAGGCUGAGUGGAGAGCGCUCCAUUAGCAAGGGCACCUCUCGUCCUGGCCUCCCGCCCACCAGCUGUCUUCCUUUAGCAUGGCAGCUUGCAGACCCCAGACCUGAUUUCCCCUGUCCAUCUUUGAAAAGGCCUGGGCUUCAAGGUUGUGUUGGUGUUUUUAUUUAUUUUUAAAGUGUUCGGGAAGCUCUUCUCCUUUUCAGAACCCUAAAAGUAAAGUCUACAAAUGUCCUAAGACUGUUUGCUUGAGGUUAUCAGUCAGUCAGCAAUGAAAUAGACACUUAGUUCCCCUGCCAGUCCACAGCAUUUAAUCACCUUCACACAAGCCAUUGUGACAAUGUCAGCAGACGGACACACAGUUCCAACUGUGUGAGCCACACCCCGCUGCUACGGCUCUGGAUAGCCACCAUGAAGCAGGACCCUGCAGUCAGUGCUCUGCUCAUU